rnacentral:sRNA from 3 species
AUGCACCACAUGUACAUUCCGGAUCUGAGCGCGUCGUCCACGCCCGCCUGAUGUCCCCUCGCUACGUAUUGUUAACC